rnacentral:rRNA from 1 species
UACGUAGGGCGCGAGCGUUGUCCGGAAUUAUUGGGCGUAAAGGGCUCGUAGGCGGUCUGUCGCGUCGAAAGUGAAAACCCAGGGCUUAACCCUGGGCCUGCUUCCGAUACGGGCAGACUAGAGGUAUGCAGGGGAGAACGGAAUUCCUGGUGUAGCGGUGAAAUGCGCAGAUAUCAGGAGGAACACCGGUGGCGAAGGCGGUUCUCUGGGCAUUACCUGACGCUGAGGAGCGAAAGUGUGGGGAGCGAACAGG